UCAAUUCGGUUCAAACUGGUUUUGACCAAUCUACCCAUUCAAUGAUUGGGGUGGGCCAGUUAUAAUUCUGGUUCUUGCUCCAUCCUGUUGGACUAGAUGACCACACUUGUCUCAAUAACAUCGAUACAGUCACAUAUUUGCGCUUGACUCCCAAAUUUAGUUCGUGGCUUUUGCUCCUCUCGUCGAUGCAAAUACAUGACACCAAACUUGGGUUUUUGGAGUACUUUUUCAGUAUGUGUGCUAAACUGCAAAGCUUUUUGCAUAUGUUGGGGUUUUGCAAGCAUCAUUUGUGACACUUCAAAACUUUCAAACCAGUGACGACAUUAGUUUUCUUUGGCUUACACAACUUAUAUAAAUAAAUGGGGUUGGGGCUAUGAUUCAUACUAGUUGAGGUAAAGACUUUUGAGUUUUAGAGGUUGUGGGUGGAUUGAGUCAUGAUCCCUUCAACUUACAAAUGCAACGGUAGGAUCCUACUAGAUUCUUCGACUAGCAUGUUUGCUAUAUGGAUGAUAUAGGAUUUUGUGAAGUUUGGCAUCAAGAUUUUUCUUUGAUAAAAUUAGAAUUCUUAUGGAUGAAGGUUUGGUUUCUAGAUGAUAUAUAUUCAGUAGAAGUUGAUACAUUUAGCCUUGAUUGGACAAGUUUGUCCAUUUUAUAAAACAGGUAUUCAAUUCUUUCAUUUAAAGUUUGUGAUCGGGAUUAGGGUCAUUGAUUACUAGAUUCUUUUUUUUUAUGGCUGCAUAGUAGCUUUUCAUCAGGUUAGAUGGAAAGGAUUAUUCAUUGUGGGCCAGUGAUUUAAAAUGUUUUCUCUAGGAGUGAAUGUUUGUGAUAGGGAUUAGAGUGAAUGUUUGUGAAGGGGAUUAGGACCAUUGUUUACUUGUUUUUUUUUUUAAUGGCUGCAAAGCAUGGAGAUACUACCUCAAUUAUUUUCAUCAGGCUAGAUGGAAAGAAUUAUUCAUUAUGGGCCAAUGAUUUAAAUUCUUUCUCUAUGAUUGAAAGUAAUGGGGUCACCAUGAUGGAGCAAUCCCUAUUCGCACAUAGUAAAAAUUUCAGAACAGUGAGAAGUGGUGGACAUUUGCAUUAUGAUGUGGAUUUAUAUUUAGCUGACAUUGAUGUUAGAUGGUGAAACUUCGUAAAGAACCAGAGCAUGUUCAGGGAAACUAUGAUGCACUCUCCAUCAUCUGGAAUGAGUUAUCUAUGAUUGAGUCUUGUGGUUCCUGCCAACACACUUGAUGCUGUUAGAAGACAAAACCAGGAAACUAUGUAUCUACAUUUCUGUUGUGUGCAUUUGCGUACAUCCUACCAUCGUCGCAAUUCAUGGUGAAUGAGUGCUUAUUGGUUUCACAUAGAAUAGGUGAAAAGAUUUCCUUCCAAGGAGGAAUAGAUCAAGAAAAAAGUUCUUUCCCUUAUAUUCCAGGAUAAUUUUUUGAAGAUAUUGAUCAGGAAAGGAUUGUGUGAAGAAAAUCCAUAUAGAAAAUGCAUUCCAAGAAGUGGAGAGGGCAGCAAAAGACUUAUCUUUCAUUGCUCUAAAAUACUUCUCUAUUGUAUUGAUAAUUGGUCAUCUCUACAUCCCAUCUUUGGAGUAACAGCAUAUCGUGUUUCAUUUCCAAGUUGCUGAAUACUGAUUUCCAAUAGUUCAAAGAGUAAAAGUUGUCAUGCCUCCACAUGGUGGUCUUGGGAGAGGGGGGAGGUGAUAUAACCUAUGCCAGAGAGCAAGAAGCUGUUUGGUUUAAAGGAUAGCAUUUCAUAUCAUCUGUUUGAGGUGGUACUUCUGGUGAAGAACAAAUUAAGAGACUAAAACCUGCCACUGAUUCUAAAGGGAAAAUUGUUGGAGAUGGAUGGUUUACAACUUAAAGGGUGGAAGUAGCACUGAAUAGGUGAUCAUUGGACAAAUUUGUAAAGAAGAUCUUCAUGUGUUUUGAAUGAAACUUGAUGUCUUCUAAAUAUGUAACCCCAUGUAGUUAUUAGAAACUAUCUUCAUUUGAAUUUUGUUUGA